rnacentral:rRNA from 1 species
GCAUAAUCAUUUGCCGUUUAAUUGAUGGCUGGAAUGAAUGAAUAUACGUAAGCUCAACUGUCUCCUUUUUACCUAUAAAAAUUGACCCCCAAGUGAAGAGACUUGGAUUGACCAAAAAGACGAAAAGACCCUAUAGAGCUUCACCUGACCUUCACUCGUCCAAGAGAAGGUUUAGUUGGGGCAACUAGAGAGUACCUAAAACCUCUCUUCCAAAAAACCUAUUUAGAUCCGUUACACGAUCAGCAGAGAAAGCUACCUUAGGGAUAACAGGCUAAUCCUCUUUGAGAGACCAUAUUGACAAGAGGGG